rnacentral:lncRNA from 1 species
UCGUUGGGUCAAAAUCACAGUCAAUACGGGCUUCAUGAGCCCUCUGACGGGCUGCCUUAAAAGCAGCUUCGGGCACGAUUUCGGCCUCCCAUAAGUUCAUAUAUACAUCACGUUGGGCCUCAGCAAAUGUUCAGAGCUCAGGAGCCUUGUUGGAAGAGGUGGCCUGGUCCCUUAGGCAUUGAUUCUCCCCAUCCAAGGCCGUGAUCCGAUCCGCCAUGGCUUGGGCUUCCCGCUGAUAGACACCAAUGUCGUCCUCUAGCCCCGCCUCUCUAAAGGUCGUGACAGCUCUCUCUAUGGCCCGCUCCCUCUCAUGAACGUGAAUCGUCGUCGCCCCAGCCCUCGAUGAGGCAUCCCUUGCUUCUAGCCUCAAAGAAACGAACUCAUUCUCCAAUGCAACCACAUUCCCGUUCAAGGUCUUAGAGGCCUCCGCCACCAUAGCCAGAUUCUCGCGCUCCCUCUCAGCCGCAGCCCUCGUUUCGGCCUCGAUCUCCUCGUCUUUCUAAUGAAGAUGUUCCUCGAGGGCACGUAUCAUGUCAAGUGUUUGCUGCAUUUGAAGCUCUCGCCUCGCCAGCUCCUCGACCAAGGCCCGGCUAUGGGGGUCGUUCCUCAGGCGCUCGAGCAACUCGCGGCACCGAUCUCGAUAGCGGCGGUACUUCUCCAACGCCCGCAAAAAGAUCCCCGUGCGGAUGUUGGCUCGACGGAUGCCCUCCACCUCCAACAAAUAAGACUGCAAAGCAAAGAGAACGAUU